UGAAGCUGCAAGUGCUCAGUCCAAGUUGGGCAAGUUGGUGUUUGUAACUUCUUUCUAUGAAAGUCUGAUGUGGGUUCUCUCCUAAACUUCUAUUAGAACGGUGGGAAACAUUGCUCCCGUGAGAACGGUAUAGUGGACUUCAUCGCCACUGACCCACAGUUAUUAGGGUGUGACACGAACUUGUGGACAGAGUACCGAGCUGCUGCUUUGCCCAGUGGAUUUCUGGUUGCGGGAAAAGGACCCGACACAUCAGUGUGUUUUAAUUUGUUUUAAACUGGUGUAAUUCGACGGCCCGACUGCUGCGGCUGUCGAUUGUUUUGUUAUUUUGUUUUAUUUUUUCUGUAUCAGUAGGCACCACAGAUAUUGAUUCUUUUAGUAUUUUAACCCCUUUUUAUAUAUAUAUAUUGUUGUGAACGGUAAAGGCGCAGCAGGGAAAACAAAUCCUUUUUUUUUUUUUUUUGUCUCGCCGCUUUUGCAUGCACAGCGGUGGGCCUGAGUGAAGACGGCAC